rnacentral:lncRNA from 1 species
AGACUGACAAAGAUUUCCUGCCAGGAGUGACAGGAAAAUCCUCAAUUCACUUCCUACGUGAAUGCAUUACGCGGUAACCGUAACCGUGGGCUGGUUUCCCAGAGAGAACCCGUGUCCUAGAUCUCUCUGGACCCCGGGAAACUCUCCUCAGACCGGGUUUCCUAGCUGUGGGCCUGGGAGAGUCGGCAGUGAGCAGCCCAGCGGUGGGCACCGCAGCCCGGCGUCCCUGGAACUUC